rnacentral:rRNA from 1 species
UUCCGGUUGAUCCCGCCAGAGAUUACUGCUAUCGAGGUUCGACUAAGCCAUGCGAGUCGAAUGUAGCAAUACAUGGCGUACUGCUCAGUAACACGUGGAUAACCUACCCUUGAGACGGGGAUAAACCCGGGAAACUGGGUAUAAUACCCGAUAGAUCUCGGACGCUGGAAUGCAUCGUGAUCGAAAGCUCCGGCGCUCAAGGAUGGAUCUGCGGCCUAUCAGGUAGUAGUGGGUGUAGCGUACCUACUAGCCUACGACGGGUACGGGUUGUGAGAGCAAGAGCCCGGAGAUGGAUUCUGAGACACGAAUCCAGGCCCUACGGGGUGCAGCAGGCGCGAAAACUUUACAAUGCUGGAAACAGCGAUAAGGGGACCUCGAGUGCCAGGUUACAAAUCUGGCUGUCGUGAUGCCUAAAACGCAUUGCAUAGCAAGGGCCGGGCAAGACCGGUGCCAGCCGCCGCGGUAACACCGGCGGCUCGAGUGGUAACCGUUAUUAUUGGGUCUAAAGGGUCUGUAGCCGGCCGGAUAAGUCUCUUGGGAAAUCUGGCAGCUUAACUGUCAGGCUUUCAGGAGAUACUGUCUGGCUCGAGGCCGGGAGAGGUGAGAGGUACUUCAGGGGUAGGGGUGAAAUCUUGUAAUCCUUGAAGGACCACCAGUGGCGAAGGCGUCUCACCAGAACGGACCUGACGGCAAGGGACGAAAGCUGGGGGCACGAACCGGAUUAGAUACCCGGGUAGUCCUAGCCGUAAACGAUACUCGCUAGGUGUCGGCCACGGUGCGACCGUUGUCGGUGCCGUAGGGAAGCCGUGAAGCGAGCCACCUGGGAAGUACGGCCGCAAGGCUGAAACUUAAAGGAAUUGGCGGGA